rnacentral:rRNA from 1 species
GAUGAACGCUGGCGGCGUGCCUAAUACAUGCAAGUCGAGCGGACGGACGGGAAGUUUGCUUCGCUGAUGUUAGCGGCGGACGGGUGAGUAACACGUGGAUAACCUACCUAGAAGACUAGGAUAACUUCGGGGAACCGUAGCUAAUACCGGAUCAUAUUUUGAACCGCAGGGUUCAACAGUGAAAGACGGUCUUGCUGUCACUUGUAGAUGGUUCCGCGCUGCAUUAGCUAGUUGGUAAGGUAACGGCUUACCAAGGCAGCGAUGCAUAGCCGACCUGAGAGGGUGAUCAGCCACACUGGAACUGAGACACGGUCCAGACUCCUACGGGAGGCAGCAGUGGGGAAUAUUGCACAAUGGGCGAAAGCCUGACCGAGCAAAGCCGCGUGAGUGAUGAAGGUCUUCGGAUCGUAAAGCUCUUUUAUUAGGGAAGAACAUAUGUGUAAGUAAACGUGCACAUAUUGACGGUACCUAAUGAGAAAGCAACGGCUAACUACGUG